AUUAACAAGGCUUUUAAUGGGAACCCAUCUCUCCCCCUUUAUAAAUUUUGCCUUUCUUCUUCCUCAAACACCCCACUUUGAUUUGAAGCUCUUCAUUGUCUCAGCCUUUCCUUCACCUUCAAGGUUUGAUUCUCUAUACAUACCUAAACCUAGAGGGGGGAAAUGAGUCAUGGAAAUGGACCGAGGCUUGAGUUGAAGUUGAACCUAUCACCACCAAGGGAUAACCCAGGAGGUGAAUCACCAACCGCGGCAACGUCUCCUCCGAGUUCAUGCGUGUCAUCGGAGAUGAACCAGCUGUUGGAAGUCGACUCUAGCAGUACUAGUCUCGAUGCGGUGGCUGUAGAGACGGAGACGAUGUUGCUCGUUGGAUGCCCUAGGUGCCUUAUGUACGUGAUGCUGUCCGGAAAUGACCCUAAAUGCCCCAAAUGCAAGAGCACCGUUUUGCUCGAUUUCCUCCAUGAUAUUACAACAACAAUCAUCGAUAAAACCAGAAAAAGUUAAGACAUUAGAU